UACGAAGGGGGCUAGCGUUGUUCGGAAUCACUGGGCGUAAAGCGCACGUAGGCGGAGUUGUAAGUCAGGGGUGAAAUCCCGGGGCUCAACCUCGGAACUGCCUUUGAUACUGCGAGUCUCGAGUCCGGAAGAGGUGAGUGGAAUUCCUAGUGUAGAGGUGAAAUUCGUAGAUAUUAGGAAGAACACCAGUGGCGUAUGCGGCUCACUGGUCCGGUACUGACGCUGAGGUGCGAAAGCGUGGGGAGCAAACAGG
rnacentral:rRNA from 1 species